CCCCCGGACGAGGGGUGAGAGCGACCUUUCCCAACAUUCGUUAUGGGACCGUCCGCCCGGGUACGGAGCUCAUUGGAUAUUCCUGACGUCGUACCCUAGGAGCUACCGGCCUCCCUUCGCGGAGGGAACGCAGGUCCCACACGUCAGCCCAGCUGCUUCCAGAGGCCAUCAGUAAAGCUGUAAUGGUCACUCCUGAGGGGACAAGUACAGCCAUGAUGGGGAAGUGACUGCAGCAUCCUGCACCUGUGGGUUCCUUCGACAGCCCAACUGUAGUGACUGUCCUUGCAGAUUGUACAGGAUUGGCUUGCGGAGAGCCCUGCUCCGGAGGUCACAUGACCCAGGCCUGGCCAAUUGAUCCCCGCAACUCCUUGGUCAUAAGCACUGGUUCAGGGCCAGAAGAUGCCACCAAUGAGAUGGGAAGUUCUGGCAAGACAGGCAGCUCCUAGCCUGAAAAUAAGAUGUAGCUACUGGUAGGUGACGAUGUGGACUCAGUGGCUUCAUCCUUGAAAAAAGUGAGGAUUUGAGGCAUGUGUUUGCCUUCUGGACAUCUGGUGGAGAUCUCCAGGCUGACGGGAUUAGAUCACUCAUUUAGGAUGGAUGGCAUUGAAGAAACAUGAAGCAUCUUUGCCCAGCAGCCCAACCAGAAGAGACUCAUACCUCAAGAGUCUUUGGGACUCCUACUUUCUUCUCCCCAGUCUAGUUUAAGUGGAAGUAAUGUGAGGGUGCUCAGCGAGCUCCCCUAAACACAUCAGCCCUUCUUAUACCUCUAGUUGUAUCAUUAGAGAUUAUUUCCUGUGGGUCAAGAAAUUUUCUCUCUUCUAUUAAAAAUGCAUUCAUUCACUCAACAAAUAUAUAUUUGUUGAACAACAAUACUCCAAGUUCAGUGAUAGGUGUUGGGGAUGCAGUGAGGGAAAAAGCGUAGAGAGAGAUGAUAAAAUAAAAUAUAUAAGAGCAUGUCAAAUAGUGAUAUGUACCAUGAUGGCAGAGUAGAAUGGUGCAGGAGAGGAAUCAAGUCAUCAACACAGGCCCAAGGGACAUCUGAAGGAUGUGUAGGAAGUGGCCACGUGAAGAUCAGGAGAAGUGUCCCAGGUGGGGGACAGCAGGACAGAGCUCUGUGCAAGGACUGAUUUUGGUAUAUUUGAAGAACAAAAUAACCACAGGCACGGUUAAAGCACAGUGAGGGGAGGGAGGGGUCAGGGACAAGUGGGCAGCGGCCUCUCAUUCUGGGCCUCGUGAAGCAUUUGGAUUUUAUUUGGAGUACACGGGGAAGCAGUGGGACAGGGGCUGGGGAGGCACAGUGGGUUGAAUACCCCCAAAAGAUUUGUCAGUCCUAACCCCCAGGACCUGUGAAUGUGGCCUUACUUGGAGCUGGGAUCUUUGCAAAUGUCAAGAUCUCAAGAUGAGAUGAUUCUGGAUUUGGAGUGGGUCCUACAUCCAGUGACUGGUAUCCUCAUGAGAGAAAGGGGGCGGAUUUUGAGACACACAGAGCCAGGGAAAGACCAUAUGGAGACAGAGGCAGAGAUCACAGUGCUGUGUCUACAACCCAGGGAAGGCCAAUGUUUGCCCACAACCACCAGAAGCCGGAAGAGGCCAGGAAGGAUUCCAGAGGUUGCCAGCAGUCAUCAGAAGCUUGGGGAUGGACAUGGGACAGAUUUCCCUGGGACCCUCCAGAGUGAACCCACCCUACUAACACCUUGAUUUUGGAGUUCUGACCUCCAGAAUUGUGAGAAAAUACAUU